UACGAAGGGGGCUAGCGUUGUUCGGAUUUACUGGGCGUAAAGCGCACGUAGGCGGAUCGUUAAGUCGGGGGUGAAAUCCUGGAGCUCAACUCCAGAACUGCCUUCGAUACUGGGAGUCUCGAGUUCGGGAGAGGUGAGUGGAACUGCGAGUGUAGAGGUGAAAUUCGUAGAUAUUCGCAAGAACACCAGUAGGCGAAGGCGGCA
rnacentral:rRNA from 1 species